rnacentral:rRNA from 1 species
GGAGUUCGCGGGUAGCAAUACUCGCGGGCUUCUAGUGGCGCACGGGUGAGUAACACGUGAGUGACCUGCCCUUAGGUCCGGGAUACCUCUUCGAAAGGAGAGCUAAUACCGGGUACGUUCUCCUGGCUGCGAGGUUGGGAGAGGAAAGGCCGGGCAACACGGUCGCCGAAGGAGGGGCUCGCGGCCUAUCAGCUAGUUGGGGGGGUAAUGGCCCACCAAGGCGAUGACGGGUAGCUGGUCUGAGAGGACGACCAGCCACACGGGGACUGAGACACGGCCCCGACUCCUACGGGAGGCAGCAGUGGGGAAUUUUCCGCAAUGGGCGCAAGCCUGACGGAGUGACGCCGCGUGGGGGACGAAGGCCUUCGGGUCGUAAACCCCUGUCAGAGGGAAAGAAGGGCCGAGGAGUGAACUCCUGGGUCUGACGGUACCCUCAGAGGAAGCCCCGGCCAACUCUGUGCCAGCAGCCGCGGUAAGACAGAGGGGGCAAGCGUUGCUCGGAAUCACUGGGCGUAAAGGGCGCGUAGGCGGGAGGCCAAGUCGGUCGUGAAAUCUCCGGGCUCAACCCGGAGGAGUCGGCCGAAACUGGUUUUCUUGAGGGAGGCAGAGGAGUCUGGAAUUCCCGGUGUAGCGGUGAAAUGUGCAGAGAUCGGGAGGAACACCGGUGGCGAAGGCGGGACUCUGGGCCUACCCUGACGCUGAGGCGCGAAGGCGUGGGGAGCAAACGGGAUUAGAUACCCCGGUAGUCCACGCGGUAAACGAUGACGACUAGGUGUGGGGGGGUUCAGUCCCUUCC